UACGUAGGGUGCAAGCGUUAAUCGGAAUUACUGGGCGUAAAGCGUGCGCAGGCGGUUAUAUAAGACAGAUGUGAAAUCCCCGGGCUCAACCUGGGAACUGCAUUUGUGACUGCAAGGCUAGAGUACGGCAGAGGGGGAUGGAAUUCCGCGUGUAGCAGUGAAAUGCGUAGAUAUGCGGAGGAACACCAAUGGCGAAGGCAAUCCCCUGGGUCUGUACUGACGCUCAUGCACGAAAGCGUGGGGAGCGAACAGG
rnacentral:rRNA from 1 species